rnacentral:rRNA from 1 species
ACGAACGCUGGCGGCGUGCCUAAUACAUGCAAGUCGAGCGGAGUUAUUCCUUCGGGGAUAGCUUAGCGGCGGACGGGUGAGUAACACGUAGGCAACCUGCCUGCAAGAUCGGGAUAACAUUCGGAAACGGAUGCUAAUACCGGAUACACAGUUUCUCUGCAUGGAGAGAUUGGGAAAGACGGCGUAAGCUGUCACUUGCAGAUGGGCCUGCGGUGCAUUAGCUAGUUGGUGGGGUAACGGCUCACCAAGGCGACGAUGCAUAGCCG